AGUACGAUCUGUGCGAUUUCGAGCGUCCUUGGGAUUUCAGCAGCUGCGAGGAAAGCGUAAAGAAGCCCGCCGGGAUAUGCUCCUGCCUUGUGCGCUGCUGGCUGCUCUCCUGGCUGCUGGCCACGCAGCCAACCCUUGCUGCUCCCUCCCGUGUCAGAACAGAGGUGUGUGUAUGACAACAGGAUUUGAUCGGUAUGAAUGCGACUGCACGAGGACAGGCUAUUAUGGGGAAAACUGUACAACACCGGAAUUCUUCACAUGGCUGAGACUAACGUUGAAACCUACACCAAAUACUGUCCACUACAUUCUCACCCACUUCAAAGGAGUCUGGAACAUCAUCAACAAUGUUUCCUUCUUACGAGAUAUUAUCAUGAGAUACGUGUUGACGUCAAGAUCACACUUGAUUGACAGCCCACCAACAUACAACAGUGACUAUAAUUACAAAUCCUGGGAAGCUUAUUCCAAUCUUUCCUAUUACACAAGAAGCCUUCCACCAGUAGGACAUGACUGUCCAACACCGAUGGGUGUUAAAGGUAAGAAGGAGCUCCCAGAUUCAAAGCUGAUUGUGGAGAAAUUCUUGCUGCGGAGAAAAUUUAUUCCUGACCCACAAGGCACAAAUGUGAUGUUCACAUUCUUUGCCCAGCACUUCACUCAUCAGUUCUUUAAAACAGACCAUAAGAAAGGACCUGGCUUCACUAAAGCUUAUGGCCAUGGGGUUGACUUGAACCACAUUUAUGGAGAGACUCUGGAGAGGCAACUUAAAUUGAGACUUCACAAGGAUGGAAAACUAAAGUACCAGUUGAUUGAUGGAGAAAUGUAUCCACCAACAGUAAAGGACACUCAAGCAGAGAUGAUCUACCCUCCUCACGUUCCUGAGCACCUGCAGUUUUCUGUUGGGCAGGAGGUGUUUGGCUUGGUCCCAGGCCUAAUGAUGUAUGCAACGAUAUGGCUAAGAGAACACAACAGAGUCUGUGAUGUCUUGAAACAGGAGCAUCCAGAGUGGGAUGAUGAGCAGCUAUUUCAGACUACAAGACUCAUAUUGAUAGGAGAAACGAUCAAGAUAGUUAUUGAAGAUUACGUGCAGCACUUGAGUGGCUACCACUUCAAACUGAAGUUUGACCCUGAGCUUCUGUUCAACCAGCGUUUUCAAUACCAGAACCGAAUUGCAGCUGAAUUCAAUACUCUGUACCACUGGCACCCACUGCUGCCUGACACUUUUCAGAUACGUGACCAGGAGUACACUUUCCAGCAGUUCCUCUACAACAACUCCAUAAUGCUUGAACAUGGCCUUUCCCAUAUGGUGAAAUCUUUCUCCAAGCAAAGUGCUGGCAGGGUUGCUGGUGGGAAAAAUAUUCCAGCUGCAGUACAAAAAGUAGCAAAGGCUUCAAUUGACCAAAGCAGAGAAAUGAGAUACCAGUCCUUGAAUGAGUACAGGAAACGCUUCAUGUUGAAACCAUUCAAAUCAUUUGAAGAACUUACAGGAGAAAAAGAAAUGGCUGCUGAACUAGAAGAGCUUUACGGAGACAUAGAUGCUAUGGAACUGUAUCCAGGCCUUCUUGUAGAAAAGCCAAGACCAGGUGCCAUCUUUGGUGAAACAAUGGUAGAAAUUGGCGCACCGUUCUCUCUGAAAGGACUGAUGGGAAAUACAAUAUGCUCCCCUGAGUACUGGAAGCCAAGCACCUUUGGUGGAAAAGUGGGGUUUGAAAUAAUCAAUACUGCCUCCUUACAGAAGCUCAUCUGCAACAAUGUGAAAGGCUGUCCUUUCACUGCUUUCCAUGUCUUAAAUCCUGAACCCACAGAGGCAACUAUUAAUGUUAGUACCUCAAACACAGCAAUGGAAGAUAUCAACCCCACACUACUACUGAAAGAGCGAUCUGCUGAGUUGUAAAUUAGCCAUCUAAUUUAUUUAUUUAUCUAAGUUAUUCUAUUUAUAGCUCUAGUAUUUAGAAAACAAAAAGCAACCUUUUGCAUCUUCACUUUGAGGGUUGCCCUAGAUUCCUUACUCAGAGAAGAAAUGUAGAAGAUGAUCUUCCCAUAAAAUCAGCUGGGGAACUGUAGAUAAAAAGAAUGUUACUUCAGACUGGAGUAGAGCAGCAACCUGGUAUUCUAUGCCCCCAGCCAAAAUUCCUUGGCUACUUGUGGAAAAGGACUUGCUUUAUAUUUCCAUCUGAAUCUCUUGAAUGCUUGUAGAGGCUUGUGUUGUAAUGACUGUGGUACUAGUAUUGUGUCACUAGUACUGUGACUUCUGUAUUUCUGUUGAUUUGUUUAAAGAUGCUGAUCAUGUUCUACAGUACAAACUUGUAACUGGUAGCGCAAAUAGCUGACUCCAGAUCUCCUACAGCAAUUGAUACUAGUGACUGAUUUGAGGUGGUCCAUGGUAUAAAUGCUUUGGGAGAUAGAAGGGUGUUUUUGCUCUUUGUAUUUGAGGCACAGAAGGAAGAAAAUUCAGUAACCUUGUAACAAAAAAAAAGGGGCCAGUACUGUGUUCAAUUAGUGAAAGCUACUUAAUUAUUGAUUAAGCAUGUAGCUAUCAUUCAGACCACCUUUGGAAUGUGUUAGAGCAUCUACUAACAUUCUCAAGGAAAACAGUAUGUCUUGAAAUCAAAGGAAGACAAGUUUGGGCAGAUCUAGUUAUUUUGAGGUAGGUAAAAAAGAAUUCAUUUUAAAAAAAAAAAAAAAAGUUCAUUUCAGCCUUGUUCUUACAAGCUGCUUUGGAAAGGAAUCCAGUUCACUCUACACUUUGUACUCUGAAGCCAUGUUUAUCUGUGACCCAACCUGCUGGGUUUGGCUGGGUUCAAGUUGAUCAUGAUAAAUGUGUAUGUUUGAGAUUAUUUAUUUAAAAUUCUGUGAAUUGUUUUUCACACUAUUUUUAUAG